GCAAUUUCAUGUCAUGGAAUUUCAAUUUCACAUUAAGGAAUAAUUACACUAAAAAGAUAAAAUAAAAUAGCAAAAUAAUAAAACAAAAAAUAAGAUAAAGAAAAUACCUAAAUUUUCUUUUACUUUUCUCUUUUUUUUUUUCUGUUUUCCUGAAAAAGAAAAAGAGAAAAAAUAAAGCUAGUGGGUUCGGCGAAGGGAGCUCUCUGGCUAGGGUUCCGGCGAGGCUCCGAAGGACGUCGUGACGGCGGCGCGGCACCAGGGGGCUUCGAGAUCGGCACGGGGCGACGCGGGCGGCACGGCGAAACCGGUGGGUGGUGUCGCGGGCGGAGCAGGAGCUUCAGACGGUGUCAGAUCUGGGCCGAUUGCUGUUCAGAUCUGCAGGCGGCAAGCGGCGUCGAUCCGCGGGCGUCAGGGCGGCACGGCGACGGUGAAUCGGCGAGGAGAUUUGCGGUUGGCUGCUACGGCGUCACGGACGGUGGUGUGGCAGCAGGGAGCGUCGCGGCUCGAGAUCUGGGCGCGGGCGUCGAGGAGCGGACGGAGGCAGGGCCUCGCGGCGGGACCGAACGCCAGAUCUCGGAGCGGAUCUGCUGCGGAGGAAGAGAUCGGAGGCAUGAGCGUUGAGCGGCGGCCCAGAUCUAGAUCUGGCGCGGGGUGCUCCGGCAGAGACGCGGUGAACGCGAUGACGAGCAGCAGCAAAUGGCAGAGGAGGCACGGCUGAGUCGCGGCUGCGGCGACGAGCUCGAGGACUGAGCAGGGCGUCGAGGCUGCAGGGGUGGUGACCGGCGGAGGCGGGUCGGUGGUGCGGCGGCUCAAUGACGGACGGCACCGGCGCGGGCUGGCAGUGACAGGGCCGGCGAAGACCCCCCCUGCGGGGAAGAUGAACAGUCGCGCAAAGGGGGGGUUUUUUUCUUUCUUCUUUUUCUUUUUCUUUUUUUCUCCACUCACUUUUCACUCUUUUGC
rnacentral:lncRNA from 1 species